UACGUAGGGUGCGAGCGUUAAUCGGAAUUACUGGGCGUAAAGCGUGCGCAGGCGGUUCGUUAUGUCCGAUGUGAAAGCCCCGAGCUCAACUUGGGAAUGGCAUUGGAAACUGGCGGGCUGGAGUGUGGCAGAGGGGGGUAGAAUUCCACGUGUAGCAGUGAAAUGCGUAGAGAUGUGGAGGAAUACCGAUGGCGAAGGCAGCCCCCUGGGCCAAUACUGACGCUCAUGCACGAAAGCGUGGGGAGCAAACAGG
rnacentral:rRNA from 1 species